rnacentral:rRNA from 1 species
UGGGGAAUUUUGGACAAUGGGCGCAAGCCUGAUCCAGCCAUGCCGCGUGCGGGAAGAAGGCCUUCGGGUUGUAAACCGCUUUUGUCAGGGAAGAAAUCUUCUGAGUUAAUACCUCGGGAGGAUGACGGUACCUGAAGAAUAAGCACCGGCUAACUACGUGCCAGCAGCCGCGGUAAUACGUAGGGUGCAAGCGUUAAUCGGAAUUACUGGGCGUAAAGCGUGCGCAGGCGGUUUUGUAAGACAGAGGUGAAAUCCCCGGGCUCAACCUGGGAACUGCCUUUGUGACUGCAAGGCUUGAGUGCGGCAGAGGGGGAUGGAAUUCCGCGUGUAGCAGUGAAAUGCGUAGAUAUGCGGAGGAACACCGAUGGCGAAGGCAAUCCCCUGGGCCUGCACUGACGCUCAUGCACGAAAGCGUGGGGAGCAAACAGGAUUAGAUACCCUGGUAGUCCACGCCCUAAACGAUGUCAACUGGUUGUUGGGAAGGUUCCUUCUCAGUAACGUAGCUAACGCGUGAAGUUGACCGCCUGGGGAGUACGGCCGCAAGGUUGAAACUCAA